rfam:Vibrio alginolyticus 12G01 1100007009664, whole genome shotgun sequence.
UGACCCUUUCUAAGCCGAGGGUCACCUAGCCAACUGACGUUGUUAGUGAACCAUCUUGUUCACAAAUAUAUACAGCCAAUCACGACUCCUUGUGGUUGGCUUUUUUUUA